GCACCGAAGGCGGGGAUUGGUCUACGCGCACGCCUGAUGAGCGUGUUACUAGCAGGUUCGAGUCCUGCUCGGUGUACCA
rnacentral:tRNA from 1 species